UACGUAGGGUGCAAGCGUUGUCCGGAAUUAUUGGGCGUAAAGAGCUCGUAGGCGGUUUGUCGCGUCUGCUGUGAAAACUCGGGGCUUAACCCCGGGCCUGCAGUGGGUACGGGCAGACUAGAGUGCGGUAGGGGAGACUGGAAUUCCCGGUGUAGCGGGGAAAUGCGCAGAUAUCGGGGAGGAACACCGGUGGCGAAGGCGGUUCUCUGGGCCUUACCUGACGCUGAGGAGCGAAAGCGUGGGGAGCGAACAGG
rnacentral:rRNA from 1 species